rnacentral:rRNA from 1 species
UACGGAGGAUCCAAGCGUUAUCCGGAUUUAUUGGGUUUAAAGGGUGCGUAGGCGGCCUAUUAAGUCAGGGGUGAAAGACGGUGGCUCAACCAUCGCAGUGCCCUUGAUACUGAUGGGCUUGAUUACACUUGAGGUAGGCGGAAUGUGACAAGUAGCGGUGAAAUGCAUAGAUAUGUCACAGAACACCAAUUGCGAAGGCAGCUUACUAAGGUGUCAAUGACGCUGAGGCACGAAAGCGUGGGGAUCAAACAGGAUUAGAAACCCGGGUAGU